GAUGAACGCUGGCGGCAUGCCUAAGACAUGCAAGUCGAACGAGAUGGCCCAGUGAAGGUUGCGUGCUUGCACAAGACUGAAUCUGGAUCACCAUCUAGUGGCAGACGGGUGAGUAACACGUGGGUGACCUACCUUUUCGUUGGGGAUAACAGUUGGAAACGAUUGCUAAUACCGAAUAAAAUAUAAGAGCCAAUUUUAUAUUGAAAGGAGCCUUUAAAGCUUCGCGAUUAGAUGGGCCUGCGGCGUAUUAACUUGUUGGUGAGGUAACGGCUCACCAAGGUAACGAUGCGUAGCCGAACUGAGAGGUUGAUCGGCCACACUGGGACUGAGACACGGCCCAGACUCCUAUGGGAGACAGCAGUUAGGAAUAUUCGUCAAUGGGGGAAACCCUGAACGAGCAAUGCCGCGUGAGUGAUGACGGUCCUUUGGAUUGUAAAACUCUGUUGUAUGGAAAAAAAUGACUAGGUUAGGAAAUGAACCUAGUGUGAUGGUACCAUACCAGAAAGC
rnacentral:rRNA from 1 species